rnacentral:tRNA from 1 species
UCCUCCGUAGCUCAAUAGCAGAGCACCGGGCUCAUAACCCGUGAGGUUCGUGGUGCAAAUCCACGCGGAGGGACCA